GCGCUACCUAUCACCACAAUCUUUUUAAUCAACCAUGGUGAAAUACUUUGGUUUUUUAUUUUUAUUUUUAUUUUUCCAUAUAUACCCCUUCUUUUUUUGUACCUGUAUUUUAUACAUAUAUUACAAACCUAAAUAUUUUUUACAUCAAAGCCAAAAUAUUAUUUACAUCAAUCUCAAAAAUAUAGCAAACAUGUAUCUACAACAUAACUUUCAUUCACCAUCUCAUCACUAUAUCAUCACCACCAUUACAAUCAUCAACAACACUUCUUCAUUAUCAAUAUAACACAACUCCACCAAUACUCACAUUUUCAAAACUAAAAAAAAAACCAAAACCAGUGGAGUAUUUUCAAUCAUCUUCCUUAACACAAAAGAAGAGUUAUGCAACAAAGCAAAAACAAAAAACCAUCAGGCUCACUACACAACUCAGCAUAAUGCGCAAUAGAAAUACAUCAGUGGAAGGUGAUCACCUACUUUGAUGAGAUUACCUUCCACUAUAUUCCUCGGGAGUAGAAUCAACUAGAAGACGCCUUGGCCACUUUGUCAUCCAU
rnacentral:lncRNA from 1 species